rnacentral:rRNA from 1 species
CACGUAUUUAGCCGUCGCUUCUUCUGCAGGUACCGUCAUUUUUUUCUUCCCUGCUGAAAGCACUUUACAAUCCGAAAACCUUCAUCGUGCACACAGAAUUGCUGGAUCAGGGUUGCCCCUAUUGUCCAAUAUUCCCCACUGCUGCCUCCCGUAGGAGUAAGGGCCGUAUCUCAGUCCCCUUGUGGCCGUCCACCCUCUCAGGCCGGCUACCUAUCAUCGCCUUGGUGGGCCAUUACCCCACCAACAAGCUAAUAGAACGCAAGGCUCUCCUGCAGCAUCUCUUUUCAUCAGGCUGGACAUGAGUCCGCCUGACUUUACCAGGUCUUAUCAGUCGUUUCCGUCUGUUAUCCCUGACUGCAGGGCAAGUUCCUACGCGUUACUCACCCGUCCGCCUUCGGCUAGGCUGUGCAGCACAGCUUCGACCAAGCUGCAUGUAGUUAA